rnacentral:rRNA from 1 species
UGUCUUAAGCAUGCAAGUCGAACGGUAAGGGAGGAGCUUGCUUCUAACCUAGAGUGGCGGACUGGUGAGUAACGCGUGGAUGAUCUACCUUUAAGACGGGGAUAGCUCCUAGAAAUAGGAGGUAAUACCGAAUACGCUGUAUGUUGUCAGAGGACAUAUCAGGAAAGGAGCUUUCGAUUCGGCAAGAGAGUGGCCCGCGUCCCAUUAGCUAGUUGGUGAGGUAACGGCCUACCAAGGCGACGAUAGUUACCCGGCCUAAGAGGGUGAUCGGACACAUUGGGACUGAGAUACGGCCCAAACCCCUACGGGAGGCAGCAGCUAAGAAUAUUCCGCAAUGGACGGAAGUCUGACGGAGCGACGCCGCGUGAAUGAUGAAGGCUGGAAGGUUGUAAAAUCCUUUUAUCAGUGAAGAAUAAGUUCUCUGAGGGAAACGGAGGAUGGUGACGGUAGGUCAUGAAUAAGCCACGGCUAAUUACGUGCCAGCAGCCGCGGUAACACGUAAGUUGCGA